UACGUAGGGUGCAAGCGUUAAUCGGAAUUACUGGGCGUAAAGCGUGCGCAGGCGGUUUUGUAAGUCAGAUGUGAAAUCCCCGGGCUUAACCUGGGAACUGCGUUUGAAACUACAAGGCUAGAGUGUGACAGAGGGGGGUGGAAUUCCACGUGUAGCAGUGAAAUGCGUAGAGAUGCGGAGGAACACCGAUGGCGAAGGCAGCCCCCUGGGCUAGCACUGACGCUCAGGCACGAAAGCGUGGGGAGCAAACAGG
rnacentral:rRNA from 1 species